rnacentral:tmRNA from 1 species
ACCUAUAUUCCCCUCUGCCAGCUUGCUGGCUACGGCAAUAAAUUGUGAGCGCAAUAAACCAUUCGGACCCGGGGGCGGUACCCGGCGCCUCCACCAAAGCCCGUUGUACUCCAGCGGUCUUCGGGGGGGCGAAAUAGGAUCGACGAGGGCGUAAAGGCUUUACUUUUGCUCGGCAUGGUACCACCGAUAUCGGACCACAAUGAUAGUUGCAAAUGACAACUACGCUAUGGACAACGCUGUAGCUGCGUAAUGCAGUUCCGGUAGUCCGCUAAGUCCUGUUGGGUAGCACCUUCGGGCGGGGUUCGGGGGCACCUGGCAACAGAAGCCUCCACUUUAGUAUU